rnacentral:rRNA from 1 species
GAGGCGUGGCUUCCGGAGCUAACGCGUUAAAUMGACCGCYUGGGGAGUACGGCCGCAAGGUUAAAACUYAAAUGAAUUGACGGGGGCCCGCACAAGCGGUGGAGCAUGUGGUCUAAUUYGAUGCAACGAGAAGAACYUUACCUGGUCUUGACAUCCACAGAACUUUCCAGAGAUGGAUUGGUGCYUUCGGGAAYUGUGAGACAGGUGCUGCAUGGCUGUCGUCAGCUSKUGUUGUGAAAUGUUGGGUUAAGUCCCGCAACGAGCGCAACCCUUAUCCUUUGUUGCCAGCGGUYAGGCCGGGAACUCAAAGGAGACUGCCAGUGAUAAAYUGGAGGAAGGUGGGGAKGACGUCAAGUCAUCAUGGCCCUUACGACCAGGGCUACACACGUGCUACAAUGGCAUAUACAAAGAGAAGCGACCUCGCGAGAGCAAGCGGACCUCAUAAAGUAUGUCGUAGUCCGGAUUGGAGUCUGCAACUCGACUCCAUGAAGUCGGAAUCGCUAGUAA